AGAAUCAACGCUGGCGGCGUGCCUAACACAUGCAAGUCGAACGAGAAAGUGGAGCAAUCCAUGAGUAAAGUGGCGCACGGGUGAGUAACACGUGACUAACCUACCCUUGAGUGGGGGAUAACCUAGAGAAAUCUGGGCUAAUACCGCAUAAUACCUUCGGGUCAAAGGAGCAAUUCGCUUAAGGAGGGGGUCGCGGCCGAUUAGUUAGUUGGCGGGGUAAUGGCCCACCAAGACUAUGAUCGGUAUCCGGCCUGAGAGGGCGCACGGACACACUGGAACUGAAACACGGUCCAGACUCCUACGGGAGGCAGCAGUGGGGAAUUUUGCGCAAUGGGGGAAACCCUGACGCAGCAACGCCGCGUGGAGGAUGAAGUCCCUUGGGACGUAAACUCCUUUCGAUCGGGACGAUUAUGACGGUACCGAGAGAAGAAGCCCCGGCUAACUUCGUGCCAGCAGCCGC
rnacentral:rRNA from 1 species